rnacentral:misc_RNA from 1 species
CCGUAGGUGAACCUGCGGAAGGAUCAUUAAAAAUGAAGCCGGGAAACCGGUCCUUCUAACCCUUGAUUAUCUUAAUUUGUUGCUUUGGUGGGCCGCGCAAGCACCGGCUUCGGCUGGAUCGUGCCCGCCAGAGGACACAACUCUGUAUCAAAUGUCGUCUGAGUACCAUAAAAUAGUUAAAACUUUCAACAACGGAUCUCUUGGUUCUG